rnacentral:rRNA from 1 species
AUUGAACGCUGGCGGCAGGCCUAACACAUGCAAGUCGAGCGAGCGGCGGACGGGUGAGUAAUGUACGGGGACUGCCCGAUCGCUGGGGAUAACUACUGGAAACGGUAGCUAAUACCGCAUACUUUCGGAUUACCCAUAUGGGACUAGCUAGUAGCGGGGGUAAUGGCUUACCUAGGCGACGAGCCCUAGCUGGUUUGAGCGGACGACCAGCCACACUGGUACUAGGACACGGCCCAGACUCCUACGGAGGCAGCAGUGGGGAAUUUUGGACAAUGGGGGAAACCCUGAUCCAGCCAUCCCGCGUGUAUGAUGAAGGCCGUCGGGUUGUAAAGUACUUUUGGCAGAGAAGCGGUAUCUGCAGAAUAAGCACCGGCUAACUACGUGCCAGCAGCCGCGGUAAUAC